ACUCCUACGGGAGGCAGCAGUGGGGAAUAUUGGGCAAUGGGCGCAAGCCUGACCAGCCAUGCCGCGUGUGUGAAGAAGGCCCUAGGGUUGUAAAGCACUUUAAGCGGGAGGAAAGGAUGUGCGUUAAUAGCGUACAUCUGUGACGUUACCCGCAGAAUAAGCACCGGCUAACUCCGUGCCAGCAGCCGCGGUAAUACGGAGGGUGCAAGCGUUAAUCGGAAUUACUGGGCGUAAAGCGCGCGUAGGCGGUUUGUUAAGCGAGAUGUGAAAGCCCGGCUAG
rnacentral:rRNA from 1 species